UGGGGAAUUUUGGACAAUGGGCGCAAGCCUGAUCCAGCCAUGCCGCGUGCGGGAAGAAGGCCUUCGGGUUGUAAACCGCUUUUGUCAGGGAAGAAAUCUUCUGAGUUAAUACCUCGGGAGGAUGACGGUACCUGAAGAAUAAGCACCGGCUAACUACGUGCCAGCAGCCGCGGUAAUACGUAGGGUGCAAGCGUUAAUCGGAAUUACUGGGCGUAAAGCGUGCGCAGGCGGUUUUGUAAGGCAGAGGUGAAAUCCCCGGACUCAACCUGGGAACUGCCUUUGUGACUGCAAGGCUUGAGUGCGGCAGAGGGGGAUGGAAUUCCGCGUGUAGCAGUGAAAUGCGUAGAUAUGCGGAGGAACACCGAUGGCGAAGGCAAUCCCCUGGGCCUGCACUGACGCUCAUGCACGAAAGCGUGGGGAGCAAACAGGAUUAGAUACCCUGGUAGUCCACGCCCUAAACGAUGUCAACUGGUUGUUGGGAAGGUUCCUUCCCAGUAACGUAGCUAACGCGUGAAGUUGACCGCCUGGGGAGUACGGCCGCAAGGUUGAAACUCAAAGGAA
rnacentral:rRNA from 1 species